rnacentral:lncRNA from 1 species
UUGCCACAAGCCCACACUGUGAUUUAGAUUAAUUAAUACAAAUAAAUCUUGAAAUCUGAAAAUAUUAUUCUAAACUUUAAAAUGGAACUGCUAAGAUUUUGGACAUCGCUGUUGGUUGUUUGCGCUGUGAUUCUAAUUAAUCAGUUAGUUUCAGGUGAACUAUUCGACUUUUCAACAGAUUUUGGAUUCGGUGACUUCAAUCCCCUAUGGUGUGGAAUAGGUAUCCCAUGCCGUAACUUGCUCUUCUACGGACUGAUGAUGAACUAGGACUUUGACAAUCUACAACAAAUGCGCAGAGAUUUCAGCAGACGACAAAAUUGGCAUAGAACGAAAAGAAAGAAAACUUUGCAGUUUAUGUUUACUUUUUGCACGUUACUCACGUUAUUGUACAAAUAAGACAGGUCAGCGAGGAUGAUAUUGGAUAUUGUCAAUAUGACAAAAUUAAUUGCACACGUGGAGUUAGUUGACAACGUCCCAUAUCAUCCGGGCAGGCCUGUGCUAUUUGUUUAUUAUACCGAAAAACAACGCAGUUACAUGUAAGAUUUACACAAUUUUCCAAAUUUCUUGUAAAACACAUUUUGAAGAAAAAAAUAUGAUGGUCUUUUUAUUGCCAUAUCUGAAAAAAAAUGUUUGUUUCUAUAUACCUGUAUUUUUGUCAUGUUUUCUAAAUGUAUAAAAUGUGUAUUUCUCAGCAAGAUUACUUCUUAUUACUUAUUACUUAUUUACAUUUUUAUUGUAACAUUAGUAUUUUGUGUGUACUCUAAAUGAGUCUUGAAAGUAUGUAGCAGAGGAAGUGGUAUCACAGUCGUAUCACAGAUUUUUGAACUGUGUUAGUUUUCAACCCCAAUUUUGAUAGUUAAGACAAAGAGCUGUGCUCUUGUCAAAGCAUAUUUAUAUUGUUCCUUCUACCUGUACAUAUUGUGUCAUUAUUUAUAAAUACAAUAAAGCGU